rnacentral:rRNA from 1 species
UACGUAGGGUGCGAGCGUUGUCCGGAAUUAUUGGGCGUAAAGAGCUCGUAGGCGGUCUGUCGCGUCGAUCGUGAAAACUUGGGGCUUAACCCUGAGCUUGCGGUCGAUACGGGCAUGACUGGAGUUCGGCAGGGGAGACUGGAAUUCCUGGUGUAGCGGUGAAAUGCGCAGAUAUCAGGAGGAACACCGGUGGCGAAGGCGGGUCUCUGGGCCUUACCUGACGCUCAGGCGCGAAAGCUAGGGGAGCGAACAGG